AGAAAGCAAAUGCACACAGACCUCCAGUGGCCCUCCUGAGUACUACACGGCACUGUCGCUGCCACCCUAGGGAUGGAGACCUCGCCUGGGGCAUCUCUUCUUCCCCGGCUACUGCAAGUUUUAUAAGGGAAAAACCAAGAGCAGUGCUGAACACAAAAGGGAAGAUCAGAGGAUUUGAGUUCAAGGCUUAGUGUCUAAUUUCAGCACAUCCAACUGAGGAUUGAAGCCUGCUGGUUCAGCACUUGGCUACCAGGAGGUCAUUGGACGCCACUUUGAAACAGGCUCAAUGCUUACAGUUAUUCCUGCUGGGAUGAGGAGGAAUUUCAUCCACCUGUUUUGAGCAUGAGCACCUUGAAAAGUCAGCUGGCCCCUGCCUCCAACACGAGGUCACUGCCAUAU